CCAUUCCGCGUGAGUGAAGAAGGCUUCGGGUUGUAAAGCUCUUUCGGCAGGAACGAAACGGUGUGGGCCAAUACCCCAUAUCAAUGACGGUACCUGAAGAAGAAGCACCGGCUAACUACGUGCCAGCAGCCGCGGUAAUACGUAGGGUGCGAGCGUUAAUCGGAAUUACUGGGCGUAAAGCGUGCGCAGGCGGUUUUGUAAGACAGGUGUGAAAUCCCCGGGCUUAACCUGGGAACUGCGCUUGUGACUGCAAGACUGGAGUGUGGCAGAGGGGGGUGGAAUUCCACGUGUAGCAGUGAAAUGCGUAGAGAUGUGGAGGAACACCGAUGGCGAAGCAGCCCCCUGGGUCAACACUGACGCUCAUGCACGAAAGCGUGGGGAGCAAACAGGAUUAGAUCCCUGGUAGUCCACGCCCUAAACGAUGCGACUAGUGUUGGAGAANGAGACUU
rnacentral:rRNA from 1 species